CUCUGCGAGCGAGCGCCCGCCUGCGCGCCCCGGGGGAGGGAGCGAGGGCUGCGAGCUGCGCGCCCGGCCGGGGAGGGCAGCGUCCUCCCCCGCGCCGGCGCCCGGGCCCCGGCUGCUGUCCCGGGAAGGCGGCCCCGCGAGCCGCCGCGGCCCGCUGGGGCUCGGGACUAGACGAGCCUCCGGCUCCGACAGCGUGCCCGUUCAGAAGCCCGCGCGGCUGGUCCCCAGCCCCGACCGGUCCCGCUCUGCCCCUCCCCGUCCCUGCCGGGCCCGGACCUGCGCCGCCCGCGAGGGCUGGAAGGCACUGGAAGCGCCGCCGGGGCUGCCCAGAGGCCGGGUCCCCGCUCCACUUUGCGCAAACUUGUUUUUCUAAGGUCCUUUGAGAUACAUUAUCUCACUGAAGCCUCAGCAACUCCGCGGUGUUCCCAGAGGUGAGGAAACACACUGAGAGACAGAACACGACUUGACCAGGGCCACCCUGUGGGGCACGCUGGCACCUGCACAGCCCAGCUUCACCUGGUUCCAGCCCUGCCCGCGCUCUGCUCCCCACUUCCCGUAACCCUGGGCUGGCGUCAGCAGGCAGGCCUGCCAGGAGGCUGGAGCUGCCAACGACCUAUUUUUCUGGGCAAGAAGAGCCAUUUGGAGUUAGAGGUCUCAGCUGUGAAGCCAGAACAAUAAAAAUAAAAACAGCACGGACUCCUGGGCAGCCUGGACCAGGGAACCAACUGCCCCAAGAGUUGCUGCUCACCAGGCUGGAAGGCAAGUGGGGUUGGGGGGAUGGGAGAUGGGAGUGACCUUACCGAGCCCCUGCUAUGUCCUCCGGCCCUUACAGAGUAAGGGUAAUCUCCAAGGUUCACAACAGGCCCUUUGUCUGGGUGGCCAGACCAGUCAGGAUUUGAACUCAGUUUUCCAAACAGUAACAAUUCCCAUCUGUUCAGCAGCUACUAUGCUUUACAGACUUGUGACAUUCAUACCACACCUGGGGGGGUGAGCUAAUCAUUCCCUCAUUCUACAGAUGAGGCAGCUGAGACUUCAGGAGGCCUCUGCUCACACGCCACCUCCUUGAGAGGCCUUGCCAGACCACCCUGUUAAAGUAGUCACCCUCACGCCUGCCCAAUAUGCCCUACCCUCUUCCCUAUUUUAUCUUCAUAGCAUGCAUCACGACCUGCUAAUAUUGUGUGUCUCCACUGCAUUUUGUCUGUCUCCCUAACUAGCUCCAGGUCAGUUUAUCCUAGUGGCUUGCACUCCAGCGGUCUCUCAGACUAGCCCCGUGGGGCAAGUUAUUUUGAUGAUCUGUGCUUCCUUCGGGGUAAUGAUAGGACCUUACCUGAAAGGUUUCUUGUGAGGGUUAAAUGAGUUAAUAUCGGUUAAGUGUUGGCCGCUGCCAUUGUUUUGUCCCAGAGCUGUAGCUCCAGGGUCUUUAACAGUAAACAAUAGGUUGUCAAUAAAUAUGUAUUAAAUUUAAAAACUGGGCUGGGCAUGGUGGCUUACACCUGUAAUCCCAGCACUUUGGGAGGCAGAGGUGGGAGGAUUGCUUGAGCCCAGGAGUUCCAGGCUGCAGUGACCUAUGAUUGCUCCACUGCACUCCAGCCUGGGCAACAGAGUGAGAACCUAUCUCUAAAAUAAUAGUAAGUAAAAAUAAUAAAUAAAUGAAGCUCUCUGCCCACGAUCCAAUCUCAGGGUAAGGAAUUGGCACAGCCUGGAUUUGAAGGUGGGUCUCUAUGAACCUGUGCUUCAAUCCAUCCCACUUCAUAAUCGCCUCUCCACAGGCCUCCAUCCAACCACAGCUGCACAGGCAUCAGAGCUUUGGUUCUACAACGUGAGCUGAUACCAAUAGCCCCUGGAGGGAUUGUUAAAACACUGAUUCCAGGGCCCUAGCCAUGGAGUGUCUGAUUCAGUAGGCCUUAGGUAAGGUCUGAAAAUCUGCAUUUCUAACAAGGUCCCAGGUGAUACUGACGCUACUGAUUCAGGGAUCACACUUUGAGAACCGCUGAAUAGACUGCCAUUCAAGCCAAGGUGAGACUCCUUUGUAAGCCUGGCCCCAGUUUCCGUGUUGGUUAGUCUGUCCAUCCCUGUGGUUUCUGUCCUCCCCUUAGGGCGAAGGCAGAGGGCAGGACAGCGCUUGCUGUAGAGACUGUAGCCAGUGCUCUGAUGCCUAGGGGCUGUGACAGAUCACUGAACCCAGGGGAGCUUUGCUGUAAUUAGUGCUUUCCUGGGGAAGUCAGUGAUUGAGCAACUCGGCAGGCAGGCAGGCAGCUCAUAGGAGCCCAUAAGGGGUGGGACCACACUGUCGGGCCCUAAACACUGUUCUCAGGCUCUGGGGAUCUAGCUCCACCCAGAGCUGAGCCCUCCCCAACACCUCUGGGUGGGUGUACUGGUGGUGUUGCAGGGGCAGAGAGCUGAUUGCCUCAGCCAUCACGGAGAGACCUGGGUUUGAGUGCUGACUGCCUAAUAGUACUAAUCACAGGUAAACAUAGGAGUGUGUGUUAAGCCCCAGGCCUGAAGGGUUUCAGCACAUUAUCUCAUGAUGCCUCCCUGUGAUUAUCUUACGUGGACACAAUUCUUAUCCCCAUUUCACAGAUGAGAAAACUGAGGCACAGAGAACUUAAGGAGCUUGUCCAAGAGCCCACACCUUGAGAGCUCCAGAGCCAGGCUUUGAAUCCAGGAGCUCUCAUUCCCUAUCCCCUGCUCCCGACCUCUGCACAUUCUGACUUCUACUUGCUUAGGAUGAGCUUGGGAUGCCCCACAGUGCCCUCUCUGGGUUUCCAUCACUACUGAGGUGUUGGCUUGAUGAUUUCCAGGUCCUGAUGGUUUCCACGUCCUUCUCAGGUGCCCAGCACCAGACCUGCUAAAAGGUCUUAGACACACAAGGAUCUGGUGGAUGAAAUAAGGAAUGAACAGAUGACCCUAACUCCAGUUCUGAUGGGACAGUGUAGCUCAGUGGCUAAGAGAUAUGCAUGCAAUUCCAGGCGCUGCCCCUCACUAUGUGUGUGAUCUCGAGUGGGUCUCAGCCUCAGUUUUCUCAUCUGAAAAUAGGUGAGGGCAGGAUUAAUGCAUAAAGAGGAGAGCGAGAGACAGAGACGAGAGAGAGAGACAGAGAAAAUAUGCACCAACGCAUGGCAGCUGAGAAUGAUGUUUGUUGCCUGCUCCAUCUCAGUCUGUUCGUGCAGUUCCUCAGGCAAAAUACCUUGGUGCCCUCCUUGACUUAUCUCUUUCUCUUCCUUCCCUGCCAGCCAAUCCUCUUGGCUCUACCUUCAAAAUAAACCCAGAAUCCAACCACUCCUUCCCACCUGCAUCACACUCCGGUCCCAGUACCUUCAUUUCUCACCUGGAUUAGUGCAGUCACUUCCUCACUGGCUCCGUACUUCCUGGACUCCCCACCUUGUUGCUUCUUCAAUAAAAGCCUCCCAAUGGCCUUCCACUCCUUCUCUUGGAGUAAAACCUGAAGUUCUCAGUGCAGCUCAAAAGGCCCCCUGUGAUCCCCUGCUUCACUGACCCGGUCUCCCCACACUCUCCCCCUUGCUCACUCCACUCCAGUUAAUUCACCAUCUCAGUAUUCCUUGAACAUGCCCAGCAGGUGCCUACCUCAGGGCCUUUGCACGGGCUGUUCCCUGUGCCAAGAACCCUCUUCCCCAGCUAGCUGCCUAGUUUGCCCCUGACUCUUCCUUAGGGUCUAUGCUCAAAUAUCACCUCUGCAGAGAAGCAUGUCCUGACCACUCAGCUAAAACUGUCCCAUCACUUCCUAUUCCCUACUCCACUUUAUUUUUUGAUAGCAUUUCCAUUUCUUGACAGCAUAUCAAUGUUAUACAUUUGAUUGGUUGCGUGGCUCUCCUACUGAUCUUUGAGCUCCAUGUGAGCUCUUUGCCUUUGUUCCCUAGCACCUGGAGCUGAGCCCACACAGAGUAGGGCCUCAGGCAGAAACUACUGAUAGAGUGAAAGAAGGAGCAGGAAGCAGGAAACAGGAAGCAGGAUGCAGCUCUGUCCAUGAGGGCACUGGCAGCUGGAUCCAGGGGCUCAGGCUCCGCCACCCGAGGGCCUGGCUUGGCUUGGGUUUCCUGAAGGAACAGGUGUCCUCGUUGGACUCCCCCGGCUGCUUUCCUGGGCAGGGAAGCCAAGACUCUAGUUGGCCUCAUUCCUGUACCCGAGAAAGGAAGUGUCCAUCCCUGGGCAGGAACUGGUUUGGCUCUCAGGGAAAGCCUAAACAACACAUACCACUGUCUUUGCUGCUGCAGCUUCCGAUUGGGACCAUGCCCUCUGGGUAGCAGUUGGCCACACCAGCCUUCAUGCUGCCACUGCUGCUGGAGCAAGGAGGGAAGUGGAUUGGGAAGUCUCCCAGAGCCCUUUGGACUGUAUCUGAUGGGAGCCUCAUAGCCGUGCCAUACCUAUUGUACAGAUGAGUAAACAGAGGCUCUACCUGACCAACAUAUUGACUUAGUGGCACAGAAAGGCCAUAAACCCAGAUCUUUUGAUAGCAAAUCCCUUAGUCCCCCUCCUUACUCCCAACUCACACCCUGCUGCCCCAACGCCUACAACCCUGGCUGGUUCAUACUUGAAAUUCCACCAUUAUAGUUUUCUUUCUCACUGUGUCUCAUUCCCUCUUCAGCAAAAAAGGUGGUAACUAUCCCCAUGAAUCUCUGGGAAUAGAUGAGGAGACUGAGGCGCAGAAAGGGAAAUGGGUGGCCUGAGCUCUCACGGCCUGUAGGCAUGACAGGCCAAGUUAGAAAAUGUUAGUCUGUUUUUCCUCUUUAUGUUUCUUCUCUUCAGCUUCAAGCAAAUAGUUGGGCUUAGUAAACAGGCACUGCAGGGAUUUAGGCAGAAAAAUGAACUCCCCUUAGUCUUUAGUAAAGUCUAAAACCAAAGAGAUUCCCAGGAAAGACUGGGAGAGAUUGGGGGCAAGCACACUGGAGAAGCUGGAGGGGGUCAGGCUGACAGGGGGUGCUGCCCCCACGCCAGCAGGAUUGGGGAGGGGACAAGGCCUCCAGGGCAGGCCUCACGGUGGCUCCAGGUAGCCAUAACUGUGUCUCAAGACCUCUGCCCUCAUGGAAGACCCCACAGCCCCACAGGGUGACUGAGAUGGGUGUCCCUUAGGGUGGGACAAUGGGCACGGCCUCCAUCAGCCAACAGAUAUUUAUUGAGCAUCUACUAUGGCCAGGGGCUCAGCUGGAUGCUGGAAAUGAGAUAGUCACAGUUCCUGCACUCAAGGCAUUCACAUUCUAGUGGAGGAGAUGGAAAGAUAAAUGUAUGAAUUAGGGGGGAGGGGAUGCUAUUCUAUGCAGUGGAGGUCUCACUCAGGGAGUGGAGUUUCCUAAGGAAAGUAUGAAGGAGAGCCAUAGGAACACCAGGUGAAAGGAAUGGCCAGUGCAAAGACCCCGGGAAGACCCUGGGAUGACAAGUUCAAGGGCAGCUGGGCAGCCAGGCAACGGGAAACUAGCCAGGAGUGAGGCGGGAGAUGAGGUUAGAGAGGAAGCAGGGUCCAGUCUGUUGGGCCGUGCAGGCCAAGGUGAGGCCUUCAGCUUUUACUCAGAACCAGAUGGGAGCCACUGCGGGAUUAGGAGCCGAGGAGCUGCAGGCAAGCAGUGUGGACAGAUUCCUGGAAGCCACCUCAAAUGUCCAGAGACUCUCUAAGACCCUGCAUCUGAGCAGGCUCUGGAGAGGAGAGAGCCCCAAGAAUGACCAAGGUUGGGCUUGCUUCACGUCACCCCCAUGGGAUACAUUCACAGACCAGAUGAGUUUAAGUAAUUUGAGGCUUCUCAAACUUUAUUCUUGCUAAAUGCAGAUUCUGACUUAGUAGGUUUGUAGCGGGGCCAAGAUUCUGCAUUUCUGAUAAACUUCCAGGUGAGGUUGAAGCUGCUGGUCCCUGGACUGCACUCUGAGCAGUGAAGAUUUAAAGGAAAGAAAUGGCCACAUCUGGCCCAACUGUGCCUGUGGUUUGAGAAUCAUACCUGCUGCUUGGCUUCAAGGCCGUCAUUCAGGGCUCUUGACAAAUCGUGCAGCCCCUCCACUCAGCCUGUUGCCCCCAAAAACCAAAUGGGUCUUUCCCCAGCUCCAUGCUUCCUGUAUGACAUAGGAGUGGUCAGGGUGGGCAGUGGGCUCCGGAGCCAGCUUACUUGGGUCCAGAUUCCAGCCGUGGCAGCUACAGGUGGCAAGACUGUGGGGAAAUGAUUUUAUUUGUCUUGCCAUUUAGUUUCUCAUCUGCAAAAUGGAAAACUCAUGACAGCUUCUUUACAGAGCUAUUUGAAGAUUCAAAGGCAUAAUAUAUAUCAAAAGUCUGGCACACAGGAGGGACUUCAUAAAUGUUAUAUCACUUUCCCUUCAGUUUCACCUGUCCUUUAAAGUAGUGAUCUAUGUACCUUUAUCUCAUUUUUCAAAUUUUUCUAUUUUGUGUAUGUGUUCUAUGAAGUACAUAACAAAGAAAUAUACAAAAAUUUGUAAAAAGUAUCAAAUGUACAUACAUUGAGGAAUACAUGUUUUAAAUGUUUUUACUGAUAGGGAAUAUGAUACAAAAAAUUUUGAAGACCACUGUUUUGAAGCCCAGUGGAAUUGAUAGAAAUAGACUCUCAGGGCUGGAAUAGAUUUUAAAGGCCUUCAAUUCCCCUGGCACCCACUCUCCCAUCUGAUGCCCAAAACCCUUGGUUGCACUAGAUUGCCUCCAGGGGUGGGGAGCUCACUACCUUUCCAGGCAAUCCAUUUUGUACAGCUCUGGGAAUGGUUUCCUGAACCCAGUGCCUAUCUGUAUUCUAGCUGCCUCUGAGUUCCCGGGGGCUGACUGAACUGCUCCUCCCCUUACUCCACUGUGUCAGAGCCCUGGGAUCUCCCAGGGGCCCAGUGCCAGGUUGUGUGCAGAGUGGGCCUAAAUAAUGUCCCAUGAAUGAGAGGGAGUGGGAGAUGGGGAUGAGAAGGGGGAUUCUGACAACUCUCAUUUGGAGGUAUGUUAACAGCUGAGUGCUGUUGUCCCCCUGGGAGUGUGUUGAUCUGUGUAACUCUGGAUCCGUAUCUAUUCGUUUGGAUUUAUUUGCAUGGGUUUGUACAUUUGAGUGUGUAUGCAUGCAUUGUGUGUUUUGCUGUGUGGCUAUAUAUGAGUGUGUGUGUAUGUCUAUGUUGCACCGCAAAUAUCCACGUGUGCUGUGCAUGUCUUUCUCUGUUUUUCUGCAUGCCUGCGUGUCCAGGUGUAUGUCACUGUGGGGUUGUGUGUCUGUCUCUGGUUUGUUUGCAUGUGUGUGAGUGCUGUACGCAUGUGGGCGUGUGCUGUUUGCACUGUCUGUGUGUGCGUGCACAUCUCUGUUUCUUUGUGUGUCUGUGUGCCUGGGGCCCUCCUUUGUGUGUCUCUGUGUGUGUGUCUGAAUCUGCAGGAGUGCGUUUCCCUUCCCUGCUCAGCCCUUUCAGGGAGCUGAGGUGAUUCGCUGCAGCCUGGUCGACUUAAGGCCGUCCGACUGGCAGGCAGCAUGGCUUCCACACCCUCCUCUCUGUUCUGCUGUGCUAAUCACUGGGUUAUAUGUAGAUGGCAAAUGUGUGGCUGCCAGGCUUGGAGGAGGGACUGUGGAGGGGGGUGUGCAGAUGAGCAGACACCAAAGAGUGAAAAGACAAUUUAAAGGCAGAAAGGGGGAAAACAAGCCUGCUUGGCUUUGGAGUUACGGGUGUGGGGUUCUUCCCAGAGGCGUGAAUUUUAUUAAGGGGAUGUGAUGACUACGAUGUCUUCCUUCCCCUAAUCAAGUAAGAGUCUUAGAAUCACAGGAUUCUAAAAUCUUGGAAUUGUCGAACUAUAGAAUUCUAGAAUCUCAGCCGAAUGCAACUCUAGACGCGUAGAACCUCUUCAAGGACCCUAAUCCUCCUGGGAUUUUAGCAUCUUCACAUGCACAUGCAGUUCUUCUUGUCCCCCUUCUCUUUGUAUAGAAUCAUGGCCAGAAAAUGACCUUGAAAGUUCAUCCAGUCCACCCCACCCUGGCUCCGGGCAGGGCAGUGGAGACAGAGGUCCAGCCAGUGAGGACAUUCUUGGAAGUGUUGCACUGGAAUCUUCCCUGGCUCUCUUGCUGGACAAGGACUUGUUGCCUGAAGGGUCUGGGGUCUCAUAUUACUCUCCCCACCGCCACCUGCCACAGGGACUGAGUUCCUGGCGAAGACAAAGGCACCUAUGUUCCUAGGAUAUGUUCUUAGCAGUUCAGGAGCUGACACAGGCUGCAGGUGUGGGGAGAGUAAAGGGGCAGGGCUCUGUUUCUCUGAGAUCCUCCCUCGGUGGAGUCUCAGUAACCUAGCCUGGGGUGGGGGUGGGUAGCUAACCAGGCAACCACACUCAUGCCCCAGGAUAUUCAGUGGGGUGUCUUCUUCCUCUUAUUGCUUCCUCUUACUGCUUAAAAGAGUAGACUAUAUCCGGUCGGGCACGGUGGCUCACGCCUGUAAUCCCAGCACUUUGGGAGGCCCAAGUGGGUGGAUCACCUGAGGUCAGGAGUUCAAGACCAGCCUGGCCAACAUGGUGAAACCCUGUCUCUACUAAAAAUACAAAAAUUAGCUGGGCUUGGUGGCGCAUACCUGUAAUCCUAUAAUCCCAGCUAAUCAGGAGGCUGAGGCAGGAGAAUCGCUUGAACCCGGGAGGCAGAGGUUGCAGUGAGCCAAGAUCACGCUAUUGCACUCCAGCCUGGGGGACAAGAGCGAGACUUCAUCUCAAAAAAAAAAAAAAAAAAAAAAGAGAGUAGACUGUGUCCUAUCUCAGGAAUCCUGGGAGCCAUGGACUAUCCCUGAGGGAGGGCAUUGCACUGUACUUUGAAACCCUCCAGGACUCACCUAUACUCUUUAAUGUGGCAGCUUUUCAGGCUCUGGCUACUAGCCAUCCCAUCCCUCCCUCCCUCCCUCCCUUGCUCCCUGCCUCACUCCCUCCCUUUCACACAUGUCCAGCCGCAGUGAACUCCCUAUUCACCUUGAAGCUACUUGACUUCAUGCCUCUGAAUGUUUGCACAGGCUCGCUCUCUUCUUUAUCUCUUCUUCUUGGUGCAAACCUUGUUCAUCCUUGGAAUACAAGCUCUCACUCAAUUGUAAGCACCAUGAGAGAGUUUGGUUUAUUUAAUACUUUAUUUCCCUGAAUCUACAACAUUUGGCACACAUUAGGUAUUGAACCAAUGUUUGUUAAAUGACUGACUGAAUGUACAGUUCAAAGUCAGCUCAUUUCCACUCUGAAGCCUCAAUUCUCCAACCCCUUCUAGAUAUUUCCCUGGGGCCCGCACCACGCCCGAGAUUACCUGUGGUUGUGAGCCCUUGCUUACUUCUUCAGCGGACAGGGAACCUCUUGAAGCUGGAGUCGUGUCUGGUUAAUCUUUUUACACGUAGCAUCCAGUUCAGGGCCUGGUACCCAGCAGGUGCCCAGCAAAUGUGGGGCCCUUGCCAGCAGCCUGGCUUGGUGACUUGAAAUCCCCUGUUGGUCCCAACUGCAUGCACCGGUCCAAGCUGUUGGCAACAUCUGCCUCAGAGUCUCAUUUGCAAUUAUACAUUCUCAGGCUCUUGCCACUUAAUAUUUAAUAACCAGGCGGGUGGCCUUCUCUGGCAGCCAGUUAAGUCCCUGAUUGCCUCUUGUCUGAACUUGGCCCCAAGUGAGGCAGGGACUGCUUUGGGGUUAAGUGUAAAGUCUGUGUCCUGAGUUGGGGGCUAGCAUAAGGCCAGACCGUUGGAGAUGGAGGAAGGAACGGCUGCUGGCUCAAGGCUUCUGGGUGACCUUACCAGGCAAGAGGCAGGUUGGGUAUUUGCUCCAACUGGUUCCACCUCUCCUCCCCUUCCAUGUAGGUCGACGCCCGCUCCUGGCCUCAUAACAGGGGAGGAGGAAGGGAGGAAAUUUGUUAAUGAGAGGGUCCCUGACUCACAUCUGAUUGGUCCAGGAGAAAGAAAGGGGGAUUCCGCCUGGGCUGUGUCCCAGCAGGAAAGGUGGUUCUAUCCUGUGUGGUUUGGCCACCAGGAGCCAGGGCAGUCCCUGUGAGGGCCUAUGGCGCCACGGAGUGGGGCUCUGGCAGCCGUGCCAGCCUCUCCUGGCACAAGGCUGGGGAAUCCUUCCAAGUUGGCUGUGGAAGGAGAUGAGGCAAAUGGUGAUGACCUGACCCUAGGGGUAACCCAAGCUGCUGCCGAGCUCUGUGAAACCCUGCAGGCCCAGGGAGGCGUGGGUCAGUUCUAAAGGCUGACCUCUGCAGAACUGCUGGGGUGAGAGGGCGCAGAGAGGCCAAGUGACAUCCAAAGGUCAUGGGAGGCUCCAGGAAGGGGAACAGCAAGCACAAAGGCUCUGAGGCUGGACUCUGCUACCGAAGCCCGAGGUCCAGAGAAGGACUCACACCUGGGAAUCUCAGACUUUAGAUCCCAGAGGACAUUUUACAGGGUCAAGAGAUCCCACUCUGCCCCUAACAAGCCCAGUGACCUGGGACAAGUCACCCUGGUGUUUAUGCUGUCACCGCACAUGUUGGGCAACAUGACUGCCUGAACCCUUCCUGCGUGGAGUCCUCUGUUAUCCCCUCAGAGGUCAUUUGGUGCAAUCCAGGAAUCUGAGACCAGAAAUGCCGCUCUGUUGAUCAACAGGGCUGGUUCCUGUAGAAGGUGGUGCUUAGUGUAGAACACUAUGCUUUCCCAAUGGGCAGUGUUUACCAGCACUUACUGUAUGCAAGGGGCCACGCUCAAUAAACCCUCUGCUAACAUACAUGGUCUCAAUCACCUGUGCCAUCCUUGUCCCUUCCCUUUCCCUCUCCUGCUCAUCAUCCUCAGAUCCUGUGACAGUAUCUUUAAAACCCAGCCCAGCCCUGGUCCACUGUCUCGUCCCACAUUCCCCUGCACUACCUUCUUAGACCACAGCUGCUGUCAUGCCCAUGGCUGUACCAGCCUCUUUUCAGCUCCCCUGCACCACCCUGGCCUCUGCAAUCCAUCCCCUACCAGCAGCCAGGAGGCCUUUGAACCAUCAAAAUCAGAUCACAUCCCUCCCCUGCUCUGAACCUCCAGGGACUGCCAUGGUGCUUCCAGUCAAAAUGAAUCCUGCAGCCAUGCUGCUCUACGUGGCCAGUCCCCACUCUUCUCCAUCCUGAGGUUGUCCAUCUUUGCUGCCCACUCUGCUUCAGCCACACUGGCCUCCUUCCUCUCCUCAAACGUGUCCCUUGAGGCCAACCUGGGGCCCUUCAAGGCUGUUGAUGUCACCUGCGCCUUAGUUCAAAUGCCUCCCCCCAGAGUAUCCUUCCUUCAUUCUCUAAAAGACCGCUCCUCCUUACAUCUGGCCCCUUGUUAUCCCAUUUCCAAGUUUUAUAGCACUUAUCACUUUCUCAUAUUUCUCUUAUUUAUUUAUGUGCACCCUCCCCCACCUGGAAUGCAAAUUUCGUCAGAACAAGACUUAGUCCCUGUUGUUCCCUGCUGGUUCCCAGUGCCUAGAAGGCACCAGCACGUGGCAGGGACUCCAUGGGAUUUGUCAGAGGAGGGAUGACAUGGCCUCGAGGGAUGAGUGUAAUAGUAGUAUCCCAUUUAAUAGGAAGCCCAGCAAUGCUAGGUGCCUGUGCAACUUACCAAACUUGUGAAGGGUGGAGUCGGGAUUCAAACCCCCAUCCAGGGGGCUCCAGCAUCUAUGCUUUUGUUCAGGAGGCUGCAUGCUGUGGUCAUGGUCAGAGCCCCUGAGCCCCAGGGACUCAGAGGUCAAUUAGGGGUGGGGGAGGGGGAGGCACUGGUGCUGGUGGUGCCUGGGAUGUACUUUUCGAUUUUGCCCCCAGCUGGGGCCCUACCUUAAGGUUAGGGUUCUGGAACGAGGGGCAGCCUCACCCAUACCCCUCUGCCCAAAGGCUACCCCUGUAGCUCCUGUUGAGGCUGCUGGGCCCCCUGGAAGUCCCUGGCUUAGCUGUGGGUCAGUGAGCUCAUCCCCUGCCCACCCUACGGCUUUCCAACGCUCCCUCCCUCUGCCGCAGUCGUUGCUACACAAGUUAAUGGAAUAACAAGACACUUUACCUAUUAUCUGAUGCAAAUACCUUUCCUCGCCAGCACCAGCUGUACAGCUCAGAUCUUCCUGUAACCCAGCAAACAGGCCUUCAGCUCCAGGCUCCAGCUGAAGAGGCCUGAGCACCAGCCAGGCACUGACAACCCCCUAGCUCGAGCCCUGGAAGGAGGGGUCAGGGGUGUUGUGCUGAUGGGGUUGUGGCACCAAUCUUAGUACUUUUCACCGGCGACCGUACAGUGAGGCCCACUGUGCACAGGUAGUUUGCAUAUUUCACCUUCACGUGAUUACAUACAAUUCUGAUCCUCACUAGGCAGAUGUGAGGAUGAAAGGCUCAGGCAAGUCUGUGUAGCGCUCAAGUGGUGGAUCCAGGUGGGUUUCACACCCACAUCCUAAAACUUGACCCCUCUCCUAUCCACUUCCUAAGGGCUUUGUCUGAGUGGCUCCAUUUAGACCCGAUUUCUCUAAUAGCUCCAUAGUAGGAGUUCUACUUAUAGACAAAGAAGACGAAGGGGGUAGCACCUUGCUCAGCCACACCAGGGUAAGUAGGACUGUAUGCCCAGGAAGGUGGAUGUGUGUAGGGGGGUGCAGUUGGGUCAGGAGAGUUCCCAAAGCUUGCCCCUUGGGAAGCUCUGUCCUGGGACCCCCGCACCACCAAAACACACCUGGCCUAGUUCAUAUUCAGUGCUGCAGGCAUGUACAGGGCAUGUACGCAGGCAUGUACAGGGCACCUAGCAGGUGCUGGGAUCACCCAGAUGGAAGGUGGACCUCCUCCAAACAACUACAUGAAUCUCACAGGAUGGCAGGACAGACUUAAGCUCCCUGUGCCUCAGUUUUCUCAUCUCUAAAAUGGGGAAGAUAAUACUGUUACUUCUUCUGUAGAGUUGUGCUAAGGAUGAAAUGAGAAUGAAGCACUUAAAAGAGGACCGAGCACAUACUCAGUGACCAAUCAACAGCCGUUUUUAUUGUCACCUCCAGAUCCCACAUAGGCAGCUCUUCUCGAGGUCUAUCGUCCUGACAAAUAAAGCGCUAGUUCUGUCUAGGUCAGAAUUGCCUCUAAGCCAGUGGUUCUUAAACUCCAGUGUGCGCUUCAGAAUCCAGUAGCAUCAUGUGAAAAAUGUAGCCACAGCAGGUCUGAAUGGGCUUUCUAGGAAGCUGCCUGCAUCCCAUUCUGACACAGGUGGUUUGCAGCAGGGCUCAGACCCAUUGCUCUGGGGGGCACCAAUGAGACUUUGUCAUGGGAACGUGACUCCUGGUGACCAGCCCCUCCUCAUCGCCAUCAAGGGAGGUUUAGGAUGUAGCAUAGUGGUCAAGGCCUUGCCAGGAGACCUGGGUUCAAAUCCCGGCUUCCCUCUUCUGGGCAAAUGGCUUCCCUCAUUUCCUUUUCUGAGACACAGAGGUUCCACAGUUCCCAUCUCCCUGUCUGAGGGUUGGAUGAAUGCCUAUCCAGAGUGGGCCUGAGACAUGUUGCACACCCAGCAAGCAGGAGUGGCUGCCACCUUCGCCCCGCAGCAGUUUGUCUUCUGAGGCUUCUGUCCCUGAGUGUUUUAUUUUCUGUUGAUAGAUUCCAGCUCAUGUUCAUGGGUCUGCACCUGCAUACAAAUGCCAAGAGGACUGGCCCACCCCCGGGAUCUGUCCUCACCCGCUCCUCACCAAGCACCCGGCUGCAAGUUCCCAGCAGGGCUCGGAAGUCCCGGGGCCUCCUGUGAAGCUGGGACCACCAUGCUGGUCCAGCCUCCUUGGUUGUGGUCGUGGCCGGAAGCAGCCAGACUGCUGGCCCCUUUGAGAGCGGGUGUCUCUGUGAGAGAGUGACUGCUGGGAGGUCUUCAGGGAACUUGGGCGCCGCUGGGACAAUUGGUCGCUGUUUGGGGGAGUGAGGUUGGCAGGCCCUUGGCCCUCGGCACUGAGCCUCUGCCAGGCCCCUGCCAAGCCUGGGGCUGGUUUCCCACUGCCUGCUAGUUUCAGGGCCAUUUGGGGAGGGGGCCCAGGGGAAUUCAUUGCCCCUCUCUUCAGCGUCUUUGCUGUGGUCCAGGAAGCCCGGGCAGUGUCUGCUCUCAGACAGCAGGUCAGCACAGCCUCAGACAUGUUCUGAUGAUGCCCGCUGUGUACCAGGCUAGGGGCGGGAUACUUAGAACCAGCCUCCCA
rnacentral:lncRNA from 1 species